CCCCAACCUAAAGAGAAGAGCACAAGCCUGCGUCGUCAAAGUGUCGAUGGGAGUUGUUACAAGGGUCGGGCCCUCAACUCGACUGAUGAGGAGCGGCUGCAGCUGCAGGGACCAGUGGGAGACUGAGACGCGCUAACAACCACAACCAUCAUGAUGAUGAUGAUGAUGAUGAUGGUGCGCCACCCGGAGCUGCUGUUCCGGGGAGACGCUGCCUCCUGUCAAACAGCCGAAGGACCCCCGCUCACCUGCAGUGGGAUCUUGUGUGUGUGGGUG
ensembl:lncRNA